UACAGAGGUGCCGAGCGUUAGGCGGAAUCACUGGGCUUAAAGCGUGUGUAGGCGGAUGCCUAAGUACCUUGUGAAAUCCCACAGCUCAACUGUGGAACUGCUUGGUAUACUGGGUGUCUUGAGCCACUUAGGGGUUACCGGAACAAAUGGUGGAGCGGUGAAAUGCGUAGAUAUCAUUUGGAACGCCAAUGGUGAAAACAGGUAACUGGGAGUGUGCUGACGCUGAGACACGAAAGCGUGGGUAGCAAACAGG
rnacentral:rRNA from 1 species